rnacentral:lncRNA from 1 species
AAUAACAGAAUUCAGUUUUUCCAACUUGCUUAAAUCUUCAAAUUCGUGCACUUUGAUGUUAUGGGUCUUUGAUUUAUCAACCCAUAUCAUCAAUUAACAUUCUAUUACACAACUUUAAACAAUCAAUUGUAUCAAAUAACAUCGAAUCAAAGGAUUUCUAGGUUUAGUGUUCUUAUACCCUUUUUGCCAAAAAUUCUUGAUUCUUGCUUCUGAUUUGUUAUGGGUGAUGGUUGGGCUUUGUUUAAGAGUGUAUGGGCAAUAUUGUACAAGGCAAUUAAAUGUAAUAUUUAAUCACUAGAUUUAAUUCUUAUAAUUUACCAAUUAACUUCUAUCCUUUGGUAAAUUAAAACACUUAUACAGUAACAUCGAAAUUAAACCCGGUAAUUAAAAUUAGGGUUUCUCAACGUCAUCAAUUAGGGUUUCUAAU